UAUUUUCUGACAUUUUUAUUCUCUUUCGUUUUGAGAUGAUCCGUGGAACAAAAAGAAGAACAUUUACAAGAGCAACAUGCAGAAAUGUUUCGUCUUGCAAGUAAGAGAGAAGAUGAAGUUACAAACGGCGGAUGGCCACGAGCGUGAGGUCCAGCUGUGACAGCCGCAUGCUGGAGGUCAUCCACCACGCUGUUGGUUCCCAGAGCAUCCCAUGCUGCGGUCCAAAGUUCCUAAAACACACAAAAAAACAGACACCUUUGAUGCACAAACUGCAGAUUCUGUCUGUUCAUUUCUGGGAAGACAAUCACAAGCCAAAGCGGACACUUCAGUAAUCCAGAGACUCAAUAAUCCUUGCUGACCGGGGGGGUCGAGAGCGUGGAAACGGAGGAUGAGGAUGUGUUUCUCAGAUUGCCAGGGGACGUCAGGGGCUGUGAGAGGC